rnacentral:rRNA from 1 species
CGCAUGGGAUGAUUAUUAAAGAAUUUCGGUUGUCGAUGGGGAUGCGUUCCAUUAGGCAGUUGGCGGGGUAACGGCCCACCAAACCUACGAUGGAUAGGGGUUCUGAGAGGAAGGUCCCCCACAUUGGAACUGAGACACGGUCCAAACUCCUACGGGAGGCAGCAGUGAGGAAUAUUGGUCAAUGGACGAGAGUCUGAACCAGCCAAGUAGCGUGAAGGAUGACUGCCCUAUGGGUUGUAAACUUCUUUUAUACGGGAAUAAAGUGAGCCACGUGUGGCUUUUUGUAUGUACCGUAUGAAUAAGGAUCGGCUAACUCCGUGCCAGCAGCCGCGGUAAUACGGAGGAUCCGAGCGUUAUCCGGAUUUAUUGGGUUUAAAGGGAGCGUAGGCGGGUUGUUAAGUCAGUUGUGAAAGUUUGCGGCUCAACCGUAAAAUUGCAGUUGAUACUGGCGACCUUGAGUGCAACAGAGGUAGGCGGAAUUCGUGGUGUAGCGGUGAAAUGCUU